AUAUUGGACAAUGGGCGAAAGCCUGAUCCAGCCAUGCCGCGUGAGUGAUGAAGGCCCUAGGGUUGUAAAGCUCUUUCAGCGGGGAAGAUAAUGACGGUACCCGCAGAAGAAGCCCCGGCUAACUUCGUGCCAGCAGCCGCGGUAAUACGAAGGGGGCUAGCGUUGUUCGGAAUCACUGGGCGUAAAGCGCGUGUAGGCGGAUCGUUAAGGCGGGGGUGAAAUCCUGAGGCUCAACCUCAGAACUGCCUUCGAUACUGGCGGUCUUCGAGUCCGGGAGAGGUGAGUGGAACUCCUAGUGUAGAGGUGAAAUUCGUAGAUAUUAGGAAGAACACCAGUGGCGAAGGCGGCUCACUGGCCCGGUACUGACGCUGAUAUGCGAAAGCGUGGGGAGCAAACAGG
rnacentral:rRNA from 1 species